UACGGAGGGUGCAAGCGUUGUCCGGAUUUAUUGGGUUUAAAGGGUGCGUAGGCGGCUAUUUAAGUCAGUGGUGAAAUCCUGCAGCUUAACUGUAGAACAGCCAUUGAUACUGGAUAGCUUGAGUACAGACGAGGUAGGCGGAAUUUAUGGUGUAGCGGUGAAAUGCAUAGAUACCAUAAAGAACCCCAAUUGCGAAGGCAGCUUACUAGGCUGUAACUGACGCUGAGGCACGAAAGCGUGGGGAGCAAACAGG
rnacentral:rRNA from 1 species